GGGCAUUUGGAUGGAAGACAGGAACCUGCUCACCCAAACAGCUUAACAUUAAUCUCUCCUGAAUGGUGUUAGAAGCAGAGCAAAAGGCAGGAGUCUGCACUUACGUUGAAAUCAUUUCUCCAGGAGUGCCUUGGUCUUGGAGUACAUGGACUGGGUUCCUUCUGGAUGAAAUUAACUGGAAGAUGUGCUCCAGGAACACACCAGGAUGGCACCACAGCCACAAAUGGACCCUCAGUUCCUGGAAUCGCACUAGAGGUAACACAAAGUAAAGAGCACCUAAAACACAUUUUUUUCUGGACCUCAGAUCCUCAGCACCAACUGUUUCACUCUCUGCAUCUUUUCCUGUAGUCCACUAUACUUGCCAAUGUAGACAUAGUCACUGAGCAACAUACUGAUUUGGAAUUCAGUGAAUUUUUUGGGGGGUGGGAAUGGCUGAACUUUUUUUAAUUACCUCUUGCCCAAUAAACAUAUAAAUAACUAUAUUCAUCAUCUUAGUAUAGCAGUGCUGAAUUUUACUAUCUGAUCAUAGGGUAAAAUCCUUAGGGUACCUUCUUUGUAUACAUAUAUAACCUAGCGUUAUACAAAUACACAUACAUGCCUCUGGUUGUUCACAGGUGCUGUUUGGUAACAAAUGCUCUAGUCCAAGAUGAUAAUGUAAUAAAAUUCAUGGAUGCAGUAUUUUUAAAAGCUGAGAACAACUGUAUUCUAUUUAUUUAUUUGCUUGUAAUUAUGUGACUAGAAAAAAUGCACCAUUUAAAAACCAUUUAUGAUACUGUAAAACAUGCAACCACCUUCUUUUCAGGUGUAAAUUGGUGAGUUCAUGGGAGUGUGUGUUUAUGUUAGCAGAAAAAUAUAG